UACGAGGGGGGCGAGCGUUGUUCGGAAUUAUUGGGCGUAAAGGGUGCGUAGGCGGUUUGGUAAGUCUGAUGUGAAAUCUAUGGGCUCAACUCAUAGUCUGCAUCGGAAACUGCCGGGCUUGAGUAUGGGAGAGGUGAGUGGAAUUCCUGGUGUAGCGGUGAAAAUGCGUAGAUAUCAGGAGGAACACCUGUGGCGAAAGCGGCUCACUGGACCAUAACUGACGCUGAUGCACGAAAGCUAGGGGAGCAAACAGG
rnacentral:rRNA from 1 species